AGAAUCCUUUUUGGGGUCGGCCGCCUCCAGAGCUGCGCAGGGUGGACACACAAAACCAAAACCCGAAGUUGGGAAA
rnacentral:lncRNA from 1 species